rnacentral:rRNA from 1 species
UACGAAGGGGGCUAGCGUUGUUCGGAAUUACUGGGCGUAAAGCGCACGUAGGCGGACAUUUAAGUCAGGGGUGAAAUCCCGGGGCUCAACCCCGGAACGGCCUUUGAUACUGGGGAUCUCGAGUCCGGAAGAGGUGAGUGGAACUGCGAGUGUAGAGGUGAAAUUCGUAGAUAUUCGCAAGAACACCAGUGGCGAGGGCGGCUCACUGGUCCGGUACUGACGCUGAGGUGCGAAAGCGUGGGGAGCAAACAGG